UCAUCAACAUCAUUAACAACCCACUCUCUGGGCAACCGGAGAGAUGCAUUAAACACCAAACUGCCACACUGUUCCCACAAAAAUAUAAAUUUGAUGUAAAGACUCUCAGAGUUGGCUCAUUUGUGGAGAUAGCCCCCUUCAACCCAACCCAUGUGAAUGACAGUGACAGGCAACCAGUGAAAAUCACAACCAUAUGGGCUACAGUCUCUGAUAUUCCACUGGUCCUGUUUGAGGGUACCACUUUCUUUCUGCAACGCACAAAAGACCCACUGACAGGCUGCAAACAGUAUCAGGAAGGGGGAAAAAAAUAAUUUUUCCAACAUCAGCCAUCACUGACACCCUCCUGUUCCUCCACCACAAAUGCUUCUGGGAGCCAAUUGAAAACCUAAGGAUCGGGACAAAGUCUGCUGCCACCAAUGGACAGUACUGUCAAUUAGUUGAAAAA